GAAUGCAAUAAUUUGGCCUCCAACAGCCCCUGUCCACUGGGGGGGCUGCAGCGGUAGGUUUGCUUGCGAUGCACCAAAGAAGAAACCCCGCCAUGCAACGCACAAGUGUUUCCCACCUCUGGUGUUAAUGUGAGGAUUACGCAGUAUUUGGGUUCAUCACAACAUACUGAUACUUUGUGGGCUAAGCUGAAUCCUUCCUACAAAAAAAGCUUCAGUCGUUCAACAGUCCGGGGUCUCCGCUGUCGUAUUUUACGCUUCGUAAUGCGGCACACAUUUUCAAUGGAAGACUGGUCUGGACUGCAGGCGGGCCAGGAAAGUACCCGCACUCUUUUUUUUAAUGUAACCACGCUGUUGUAACACGUGCUGAAUGUGGCUUGGCAUUGUCUUGCUGAAAUAAGCAGGGGCGUCCAUGAAAAAGACGGCGCUGAGAUGGCAGCAUAUGUUGUUCCCAAACCUGUAUGUACCUUUCAGAAAUAAUGGUGUCUUCACAGAUGUGUAAGUUACCCACGCCUUUGGCACUAAUGCACCCUCAUACCAUCUUAGAUGCUGGCUUUUGAACUUUGCGUCGAUAACAGUCUGGAUGGUUCGCUUCCGCUUUAGCUUGGAUGACACUGUGUCGAAUAUUUCCAAAAACAAUUUGAAAUGUUGACUCCUCAGUCCACAGAACACUUUUCCACUUUGCAUCAGUCCAUCUUAGAUCAUCUCUGGCCCAGAUGUUGUUGAUGAAUGGCUUUCGCUUUGCAUAGUAGAGCUUUAACUUGCACUUACAGAUGUAGCGACGAACUGUAUUUACUGACAGUGGUUUUCUGAAGUGUUCCUGAGCCCAUGUGGUGAUAUCCUUUAGAGAUUGAUGUCGGUUUUUGAUACAGUGCUGUCUGAGGGAUCGAAGGUCACGGUCAUUCAAUGUUGGUUUCCGGCCAUGCCGCUUACGUGGAGUGAUUUCUCCAGAUUCUCUGAACAUUUUGAUGAUAUUUUGGACCAUAGAUGUUGAAAUCCCUAAAUUUCUUGCAAUUGCACUUUGAGAAACGUUGUUCUUAAACUGUUUGACUAUUUGCUCACGCAGUUGUGGACAAAGAGGUGUACCUCGCCCCAUCCUUUCUUGUGAAAGACUGAGCAUUUUUUGGGAAACUGUUUUCUACCCAAUCAUGGCACCCACCUGUUCCCAAUUAGUCAGCACACCUGUGGGAUGUUCCAAAUAAGUGUUUGAUGAACAUUCCUCAACUUUAUCAGUAUGUAUUGCCACUUUUCCCAACUUCUUUGUCACGUGUUGCUGGCAUCAAAUUCUAAAGUUAAUGAUUAUUUGCAAAAAAAAAAAAGUUUAUCGGUUUGAACAUCAAAUAUGUUGUCUUUGUAGCAUAUUCAACUGAAUAUGGGUUGAUAAUGAUUUGCAAAUCAUUGGAUUCCGUCUAUAUUUACAUCUAACACAAUUUCCCAACUCAUAUGGAAUCGGGGUUUGUACAUUAAAACAUUCUUCUUCAUACUACAUUAAUAUAUGCUCAUUUUAAACUUUUUAAUUCAGAGAGAGAAAUCACAAUUAAGUCAAUUCAGCAAAACUUUAUAUAUAUUAAACUGGGCAGCAAGGUGGAGAGGGAUUAGUGAAGUGGUUCUCAAAUUUUUCUUGUCAUCCCCCACUUUGGACAAGGGGGAGUUUUCAAGCCCCACCUGCCCCCAUCGCCCCAACAGAACACUAAUGCCAUGAUUAACAUUUUCAUAUUUAUUGAACGUCAAGUAACAUUCAAAUUGUAUACAUUCAAACUCAAUAACAUAAAAUAACAUCAAGUUCAACAAUAAAUAAAAUAACUGUGCAGAUGUGGUAUAACUUGCAUCAAGUUCAAUAAUAAAUAGAAUAACUAUUCUGCCAGUUUUCUUUGAAAGAAAUCAAGUAGCUUAUUGGCAUGAUUGGGGUGUGUGGUCUCGAGGUGUCUCUUUAAUUUGUUGGGUCUCAUGCUGUCUGCUGCUAACGGUCUCACAGGGGUCCCUCCUCUGCCCCCACCACCGUUGCCGUGAAUCCAAGCGCAAGAUACCCUUAUUUUCUUUUCGGUUGGCUUUUUGGUUGAUUAAGCCCGUCAGAUUUUUGUUUCUCUGCAGGCGCCGGCUCAGAAUUGACGACCUUUGAGGUGCGAGUCACAAAGUUAUCCAUUUUGUGUAAUUGUGGUCCACACAUUAGCCUGCUACCCAUCCGCGUGAAAGAUUGUUCCGCUUAGCCCCGCCCACAUUAGUUGCUGUUGCUAUGUCUGUCAAACUUUCGCUCCUAUCUAGAAAUUUAAAGCCUAGAGGAAAAAUAAGUAAUUCACACUUAUUUACAUAACGGAUUUCACAGACAGAAUCACUAGGUGAUUUACAGUGUGUAUAGAAAAUGAAAGCAUAGUAAAAAAAAAAUAAUCUAAGAAUAUAAUUAAAAAUAUAUUUAAAGUGAAAUUUCCUCCCGUACCUCGCGCCCCACCUGUCAUGUGUCUAUUCCCCACCAGUGGGGCCCGCCCCACACUUUGAGAAACGCUGGGUUAGUGCAUCUUCCUCACAAGACGA